AUUGAACGCUGGCAGCAAGCCUAACACAUGCAAGUCGAGCGGAUGAAGGGAGCUUGCUCCUGGAUUCAGCGGCGGACGGGUGAGUAAUGCCUAGGAAUCUGCCUGGUAGCGGGGGAUAACGUCCGGAAACGGGCGCUAAUACCGCAUACGUCCUGAGGGAGAAAGUGGGGGAUCUUCGGACCUCACGCUAUCAGAUGAGCCUAGGUCGGAUUAGCUAGUUGGUGGGGUAAAGGCCUACCAAGGCGACGAUCCGUAACUGGUCUGAGAGGAUGAUCAGUCACACUGGAACUGAGACACGGUCCAGACUCCUACGGGAGGCAGCAGUGGGGAAUAUUGGACAAUGGGCGAAAGCCUGAUCCAGCCAUGCCGCGUGUGUGAAGAAGGUCUUCGGAUUGUAAAGCACUUUAAGUUGGGAGGAAGGGCAGUAAGUUAAUACCUUGCUGUUUUGACGUUACCAACAGAAUAAGCACCGGCUAACUUCGUG
rnacentral:rRNA from 1 species